CUCCUCUCUGACAUCUGCAGACGUGCGGCGAUGGGCGGGACCCGGGACAGCGUGGCGGGGAGCCGUGUCACGUCAGCCUUCAUGUCGCUCAGCAGCUCCUCCAACUGGUUCAGCACUGCCAUUACACCAACACAACGGGACAUGACCCCGAUGCGGGUGAGCACAGGCUGCCGACACAGGCCCUCCCUCGGCACGCCGUCGGCAAACGUCUCGGCACCGUCGGCCACGGGCUCACACAGGUGACGCAUGAACAGGGAGACAUACGCCCUGGAAAAGAGAAAGAGAAGAGAUUGAUACAUAAGUGAGGGAAAGAGAACAGACGACAGAGAGGGAACAGAUCGGCAGCAACAUUGUAGCAUGAAGAGCUCAGUGUCUCUGACCAGCCACUGGCAGGAGAAGGCGUCCUGUGCGGGCAUGCCCCAACGCAUCACCGCGUUUAGGAAGGCUUUCCUCUGGCGCGUGUUGAAGCCCAAUACCUAGAGGGCAGAGAGGGCAUAAGGACUUCAUAACACAUUCUUAAC